ensembl:snRNA U6 U6 spliceosomal RNA
AUGCUUGCUUUGGCGACACAUAUACUAAAUUGGAACGAUACAGAGAGGAUUAGCAUGGCUCCUGCGCAAGGAUGACACACAAUUCGUGAAGCAUUUCAUAUUUAA